CCAGCAGCCGCGGUAAUACGGAGGGUGCGAGCGUUAAUCGGAAUUACUGGGCGUAAAGCGCAUGCAGGCGGCCUGUUAAGUCAGAUGUGAAAGCCCGGGGCGUUAACCUCGGAAUUGCAUUUGAAACUGGCAGGCUAGAGUCUUGUAGAGGGGGGUAGGAAUUUCAGGUGUAGCGGUGAAAUGCGUAGAGAUCUGAAGGAAUACCAGUGGCGAAGGCGGCCCCCUGGACAAAGACUGACGCUCAGAUGCGAAAGCGUGGGGAGCAAACCAGGAUUAGAUACCCUCGGUAG
rnacentral:rRNA from 1 species